GUUGAAACACCAGCUCCCGUACGAUCAGCGAAAUUAAGCAACGUCGGGUCUGGUCAGUAUAUAAAUGGGUGGCCGUUUAGGAAUACCUGUUGCUGUA